AUUCUAAAAAAUAUUAUUAAGUUUUAAUAGACGUAUAAAUAUGUUUUGUUUUGCGCUACAAAAUUCAAAAUUUUCCAAAAUAUUCGAUUUCAAAUUACAUAUAAACAAGUCCCAUCGUGUGAAUCGCAGCCGCACGUGCCGCCACACUAAGUGUACCAGCACUUAAUUUGUAUGAAUACACAAUAUGCAAUCUUAUGAUUUAUUUAACGUAUACUCUUCCUCUUUCCACCUAAUGACCAAUAUUCUAGCUCUUUCCAUACCACAUCGUAAAUCUCUCUGUCUCUUUUCCGGCAAACGAUACGCCACUGGAUAGUUUUUUCUUUACUUUUUGACUAUAAUAAUAAUCCAAUCUGAUCCAGACUAUGCAAUCUACUAAAUAAGAUGAUUCCGCGAUUCGGUUUACUGGUACCUUUAAAAUUGUGGAUGCCACAGACAUUUGUGGUAUUAAACAUGUUAAGAAUUCACCGUCUGCAGCUAUGGAACAGUCAAAAGCUAAAGAUGAACAAAAGCUAAAACUUUUCCCCGUUGCACAACUACAAUCAUUAUAUCUUCGAACUUGCACGGAUCUUGGAAACUAAGUUUAACACACUCAAAUUAUUCCAAAAAAGUGCGUUUGAUGCCAGAAUUUGAUUGGCUGUUACAAAAUAUGACUGUAAUUGAAAUUAAACAAGGGGUAUAGCUUGUUACAGAAUCCACUAAAUUUUGAAGGAUCUCCGGAGAUACCGCUAGUCAAAAGGAAUUGAGCUCAGAAAUUGUAUUUUCUCUCGUUUUGUUGAACGAAACUGUUCUUUUGCGUUUUAAAAGAAACCAGACGUUUUCAAUAAUAUUAAAAUCUGGACUUUAUGGAGGCCAGUGUAAGGUGGUAACACCAACAUCCCUCAUAAAUGUGGUAAUCAUACGGGCUUUGUUGCGUGGGGCAUUAUCCUGUUGCAGGACUAAUGACUCUCCGAUCAGCCUAUUACCGGAGGGGAAUGCGUGCUCAUGUAGGGUGUAUAAAUAAUUUCCCUGGUUCAUUGAGCCGGUGAUAGGAAUAAAGUCUCCUAGCCCACUGUAUGCAACACAACCCCGAAACAUGACAAAGCCUCCGCCAUGGCUCACUUUUUUACAACCCGUUUAUUUUUUCUUUGCUUUGUGGGCAUUCUUAUGAAAACUUUAGUAUAUACUUCUAUAUAUUAUCAAGUCAACAAUUAUUAAAUUAUAUUAUUAUAAACUGUUUCAGAUUUUAUGAAACACGUGACCUUGUUUUUGAUUCGGCGCACUAGCCCACUAGUUGUUUUUAAAUUAAAUCAAUAGACCUACUCAUGUAAAAAUAUUUUCUCUGAUUGUUUACAAAAACAAAACCAUCAAACAUUAUUUUUAAACACAAAUUUGUUAAUGUAUAUGUACAAAACUAUUUAUUUAUAUAUGUAUGUAUGCAAUAAGAACAGUGAUUUUACAGAUGAGUACCCUGUAUAAUAAUUUAUUUGUAAUUAUGUACCUAUUACGAGAUUUUGGCAAAUCAUGUGAAUAUACAUUCUAUA